GACGAACGCUGGCGGCGUGCUUAACACAUGCAAGUCGAGCGGUAAGGCCCUUUCGGGGGUACACGAGCGGCGAACGGGUGAGUAACACGUGGGUGACCUGCCCUCAGCUCUGGGAUAAGCCUGGGAAACCGGGUCUAAUACUGGAUAUGACUCCAUGACGCAUGUUGUGGGGUGGAAAGCCUUGUGCGGCUGAGGAUGGGCCCGCGGCCUAUCAGCUUGUUGGUGGGGUGAGGCCUACCGAGGCGACGACGGGUAGCCGGCCUGAGGA
rnacentral:rRNA from 1 species